CUUUAACUUCAUCAAAAAACUACCUUGACCAAAAACUUUAACCUGAACUUUGCACUAUCAUUUUCUAUGUUCAGUGGACCAUGAAAUUGGGGUCAAAACUAUAAUUUGGCAUUAAAAUUAGAAAGAUCAUAUCAUGGGGAACAUGUGUAUUAAGUUUCAAGUUGAUUGGACUUCAGCUUCAUCAAAAACUACCUCGACCAAAAACUUUAACCGGACGGACGAACGAGGCACAGACGGACGGACGGACGAACAGAGGCACAGACCAGAAAACAUAAUGCCCCUCUACUAUCGUAGGUGGGGCAUAAAAAUAUG
rnacentral:lncRNA from 1 species